rnacentral:rRNA from 1 species
UCAUCACUACGCUAGAUGCAUAUCAAUAAGCGGAGGAAAAGAAACUAACAAGGAUUCCCCUAGUAACGGCGAGUGAAGCGGGAAGAGCUCAAAUUUGAAAUCUUAAAGGGUUUCCCUUUACGAAUUGUAGUUUAAAGAAGUGUUUUCUGUUGGAGUUUCGGUAAAAGUUCUUUGGAAUAGGACAUCAUAGAGGGUGAGAAUCCCGUAUUUGACCGUUACUUUCCAGCUGUGUGAUACACUUUCAAAGAGUCGGAUUGUUUGGGAAUGCAGUCCAAAAUGGGUGGUAAAUUUCAUCUAAAGCUAAAUAUUGGCGAGAGACCGAUAGCGAACAAGUACCGUGAGGGAAAGAUGAAAAGAACUUUGAAAAGAGAGUUAAACAGUACGUGAAAUUGUCAAAAGGGAAGCGUUUGACACCAGUGUUGUUUAGUUGAAAAUCAAUUCAAUAAUUUUUGAUUUUGAGUAGUAUUGACUUCAUCAGCUUGCUGCUUUCUUUUCGGAAAUUAUUGAAUGCACUUUUCAGUUAACAAGUCAACAUCAAUUUCUUUUGUUGUAAAAGGGUAAGAGGAAGGUAGGCUUACGCUUCGGCGUAAGUGUUUAUAGCCUUUUACCUCUGCAAUCGGAGAGAUUGAGGACAGCAGCGUAGACUCUUCGGGGUUAGAUACACUUGUGCUAAGCUAUAGCCUUGUAUAGACAACUUGUUGACUAUGCUCAGUCAUGUAGCUUACUCGCUUGUGCUAUUUUACCUACGCUUAGGAUGUUGACGAGACUGUCGAUCUC